GAUGAACGCUGGCGGCGUGCCUAAUACAUGCAAGUCGAGCGAACGGACGAGAAGCUUGCUUCUCUGAUGUUAGCGGCGGACGGGUGAGUAACACGUGGAUAACCUACCUAUAAGACUGGGAUAACUUCGGGAAACCGGAGCUAAUACCGGAUAAUAUUUUGAACCGCAUGGUUCAAAAGUGAAAGACGGUCUUGCUGUCACUUAUAGAUGGAUCCGCGCUGCAUUAGCUAGUUGGUAAGGUAACGGCUUACCAAGGCAACGAUGCAUAGCCGACCUGAGAGGUUGAUCGGCCACACGGGAACUGAGACACGGUCCAGACUCCGACGGGAGGCAGCAGUAGGGAAUCUUCCGCAAUGGGCGAAAGCCUGACGGAGCAACGCCGCGUGAGUGAUGAAGGUCUUCGGAUCGUAAAACUCUGUUAUUAGGGAAGAACAUAUGUGUAAGUAACUGUGCACAUCUUGACGGUACCUAAUCAGAAAGCCACGGCUAACUACGUG
rnacentral:rRNA from 1 species